AAAUCUCUCUCUCUGAUAAACCUCCUCCUAAAGACUUCAAAAUCCUCAAAAGCUUAAAAGACAAAAUAACUUCCAAUAACCUAGUUUUUUCUAAAGCAGACAAAGGUAACACAGUUGUAAUCUUAGAUAAAGAAGCUUAUACUACCAAAGUCUUGGAGUUUUUGGAGAGCGGAAGUUUUAAACUACUUAAAGGGGACCCAACAACUAAAUUUACAUCAAUACUCAAGUCAGUUCUCUCUUCUACCUCCCACACUUUAGAAUUUUUCAACUACAAUAAAUACAGCUUAAUACCUAUGAAUCCUGCCACCCCCAGAUUGUAUGGCCUCCCGAAAAUUCAUAAACCAAACUGCCCCAUCAGACCAGUUGUGUCUUUCACCAAUUCACCUUGCCAUAAACUAGCACCUUUCUUGAACAAUGUCAUAAGAAAAUCAAUCAAUUUUAACAACACUUUUUCCAUCAAAAAUUCAAAAGACCUAUGUGACAAGAUAAAAGAUUUAGUAAUACCGUCCAACAGUUUUUUAGUAUCCUUUGAUGUUUCUAACCUCUUCCCGUCAAUUCCUCCUUCAGAAUGCGUUUCAAUUUUAAGAAAUUUUCUUUUGGAUUCAAAAUUAAAUAUUACUUACUCUUCAGACCUUUUAACUUUAACCGAAUUAGUAACAAGACAAAACUUUUUUCAAUUUAACAACCAAUUUUUUGAACAAACAUCCGGUCUAGCCAUGGGUUCUUCUUUAUCACCCCUUCUAGCUGAACUGUUUAUGAACAACUUGGAACAAAAGAUCUUAUCCCACAAGUUAGCAGACCAAGUAUUCUUUUGGCAUAGAUAUGUCGAUGACGUCUUGGUUCUUUUUGAAGGUUCCGAAACCGAUUUAUCUAAUCUUCUUAAUUUCAUUAACACAAUCCAUCCCUCAAUUAAAUUCACCUUAGAAAUCGAACAAAACAAUAAAUUACCCUUUUUAGAUUUGCUGAUUAUUAGACACAACAAUCAUUUAGAGUUUGAAAUUUUUAGAAAACCUACCACCACAGAUACUUUGAUUCCGUUCGAUUCUCACUCACCAUAUCAAUAUAAGUUCGCAGCAUUCAAUUCAUUUUUUCAUAGACUUUUUAAUUUACCCCUGACCCCAAGAGCCUUCAAAAAGGAGAAAGACACCAUCUUUCAAAUUGGCGUCAAUAACGGUUUUCCUCCAUAUUUAAUCCAAAAAAUCUUUAAUUAAUUUGAAAUUAAAUUCUCUCGCACUUUUCAUUUAAUAAACUCCAAUCGGGAAGAGGUCCGUUUUUGUCAUUCUUUACCAUACAUAGGUCCAUUCUCAAGUAAACUAACAUCUUUAUUUAGAAAACAUGACAUAAAAGUGAUUUUUAGCCGUGGCAACGACCUUUCUUCCUCUCUGGUAAAAAAACAAAGACAAAAUAAUCAUAGGUAACCACUCAGGAGUCUAUAAAUUAACUUGUGAAGACUGUAACGCUUUCUAUAUAGGCCAGACAGGUAGAAAGAUCAUUACCAGGGUCCUAGAACAUAAAGGAUACAUGGUGAAAGAAAUUCGAGAAAAAACGAACCCACCCUUUAAAACAAAAUCUGAAUUUUCGGACCAUCUAUUAAAUAACCAACAUUUUUGCAAUUUUAACAACUUUGAAGUUUUACACAUAUGCAACAAAAGCCGCAAACUCAACAAUCUAGAAAUAUUGGAAAUUUACAAACAUCUUUCUCUUCACAACUCCACUUGCGUGAAUGAACAAACCAAUUUUAACAAACCCUUAUUAAAUAAUUUCUUCAAUAUAUCAUAACUUGACAAUCUACUUUUCAACAUGUUCCAAAUCUCGUUAUAAUUAUUCUAGUUUUGCAAAAUUGUUUUUCUAAAUUUUGAUAUUUUACAGAUCCCUCUUUUAACCUUCUACUUUCUCCGUUAGAGGGCGGAGUUUCAUUGUACAAUUUUUUAAGUCAUUCAUUUUGUAGUUCCUUUUACAUUUCACUUUUCAACUCGACAAGAUGUAACCUUCCUUCUUUUUGAAAAAUUUUAUUAAUUUGUAACUUUUUUAUUGUUUUGUUCUUAAAAAACACGUAAAUGUAAAUUCUUACGUAGUUUUAUCCUGUGUUUUUUAAAAUGUUUUGACUGCUGAUGAUGGUAUAAAUAAAUACCGAAACUAGUCCAAUUCCUUCUCUUUAUUUCCACUUUGGUUAGGCUUGGACUUUAAGUUAUCCAUUUAUUCAAUUUGAAA